UACAGAGGUCUCAAGCGUUGUUCGGAUUCAUUGGGCGUAAAGGGUGUGUAGGUGGCGCCGUAAGUCGGGUGUGAAAUUUCGGAGCUUAACUCCGAAACUGCAUUCGAUACUGCGGUGCUUGAGGACUGGAGAGGAGACUGGAAUUCAUGGUGUAGCAGUGAAAUGCGUAGAGAUCAUGAGGAAGACCAGUGGCGAAGGCGGGUCGUCUGGACAGUUCCUGACACUGAGACACGAAGGCCCAGGGGAGCAAACGGG
rnacentral:rRNA from 1 species